rnacentral:rRNA from 1 species
CCUACGGGAGGCAGCAGUGGAGAGUAUUGGACAAUGGGGGCAACCCUGAUCCAGCCAUGCCGCGUGUGUGAAGAAGGCCCUCGGGUUGUAAAGCACUUUCAGUGAGGAAGAACGCCUGGUGGUUAAUACCCAUCAGGAAAGACAUCACUCACAGAAGAAGCACCGGCUAACUCCGUGCCAGCAGCCGCGGUAAUACGGAGGGUGCGAGCGUUAAUCGGAAUUACUGGGCGUAAAGCGCGCGUAGGUGGCUUGAUAAGCCGGUUGUGAAAGCCCCGGGCUCAACCUGGGAACGGCAUCCGGAACUGUCAAGCUAGAGUGCAGGAGAGGAAGGUAGAAUUCCCGGUGUAGCGGUGAAAUGCGUAGAGAUCGGGAGGAAUACCAGUGGCGAAGGCGGCCUUCUGGACUGACACUGACACUGAGGUGCGAAAGCGUGGGUAGCAAACAGGAUUAGAUACCCCUGUAGUC